UAACAGGAUUAGAUACCCUGGUAGUCCAUGCCGUAAACGAUGUCUACUAGCCGUUGGGGCCUUUGAGGCUUUAGUGGCGCAGCUAACGCGAUAAGUAGACCGCGUGGGGAGUACGGUCGCAAGACUAAAACUCAAAUGAAUUGACGGGGGCCCGCACAAGCGGUGGAGCAUGUGGUUUAAUUCGAUGCAACGCGAAGAACCUUACCUGGUCUUGACAUAGUAAGAACUUUCCAGAGAUGGAUUGGUGCCUUCGGGAACUUACAUACAGGUGCUGCAUGGCUGUCGUCAGCUCGUGUCGUGAGAUGUUGGGUUAAGUCCCGCAACGAGCGCAACCCUUUUCCUUAUUUGCCAGCGGGUUAAGCCGGGAACUUUAAGGAUACUGCCAGUGACAAACUGGAGGAAGGCGGGGACGACGUCAAGUCAUCAUGGCCCUUACGACCAGGGCUACACACGUGCUACAAUGGUCGGUACAAAGGGUUGCUACCUAGCGAUAGGAUGCUAAUCUCAAAAAGCCGAUCGUAGUCCGGAUUGGAGUUUGCAACUCGACUCCAUGAAGUGGGAAUCGCUAGUAAUCGCGGAUCAGAAUGCCGCGGUGAAUACGUUCCCGGGCCUUGUACACACCGCCCGUCACACCA
rnacentral:rRNA from 1 species